rnacentral:rRNA from 1 species
AGAGUUUGAUCCUGGCUCAGAUUGAACGCUGGCGGCAUGCUUUACACAUGCAAGUCGAACGGCAGCACGGACUUCGGUCUGGUGGCGAGUGGCGAACGGGUGAGUAAUACAUCGGAACGUGCCUAGUAGUGGGGGAUAACUACUCGAAAGAGUAGCUAAUACCGCAUGAGAUCUACGGAUGAAAGCAGGGGACCCUCGGGCCUUGUGCUACUAGAGCGGCUGAUGGCAGAUUAGGUAGUUGGUGGGAUAAAAGCUUACCAAGCCUGUGAUCUGUAGCUGGUCUGAGAGGACGACCAGCCACACUGGGACUGAGACACGGCCCAGACUCCUACGGGAGGCAGCAGUGGGGAAUUUUGGACAAUGGGCGAAAGCCUGAUCCAGCAAUGCCGCGUGCAGGAUGAAGGCCCUCGGGUUGUAAACUGCUUUUGUACGGAACGAAAAGCCUGAGGCUAAUAUCCUCGGGUCAUGACGGUACCGUAAGAAUAAGCACCGGCUAACUACGUGCCAGCAGCCGCGGUAAUACGUAGGGUGCAAGCGUUAAUCGGAAUUACUGGGCGUAAAGCGUGCGCAGGCGGUUUUGUAAGACAGUGGUGAAAUCCCCGGGCUCAACCUGGGAACUGCCAUUGUGACUGCAAGGCUGGAGUGCGGCAGAGGGGGAUGGAAUUCCGCGUGUAGCAGUGAAAUGCGUAGAUAUGCGGAGGAACACCGAUGGCGAAGGCAAUCCCCUGGGCCUGCACUGACGCUCAUGCACGAAAGCGUGGGGAGCAAACAGGAUUAGAUACCCUGGUAGUCCACGCCCUAAACGAUGUCAACUGGUUGUUGGGAAUUAACUUUCUCAGUAACGAAGCUAACGCGUGAAGUUGACCGCCUGGGGAGUACGGCCGCAAGGUUAAAACUCAAAGGAAUUGACGGGGACCCGCACAAGCGGUGGAUGAUGUGGUUUAAUUCGAUGCAACGCGAAAAACCUUACCCACCUUUGACAUGGCAGGAACUUACCAGAGAUGGUUUGGUGCUCGAAAGAGAACCUGCACACAGGUGCUGCAUGGCUGUCGU